rnacentral:rRNA from 1 species
UACGUAGGUGGCGAGCGUUGUCCGGAUUUAUUGGGCGUAAAGAGCGUGUAGGCGGCUUUGCAGGUCCGCUGUGAAAACUCGAGGCUCAACCUCGAGCUGUCGGUGGAAACCGUAAAGCUAGAGUCCGGAAGAGGAGAGUGGAAUUCCCGGUGUAGCGGUGAAAUGCGUAGAUAUCUGGAAGAACACCAAAGGCGAAGGCAGUGUCCUGGGUGGUCGCUGACGCUGAGAGGCGAAAGCCAGGGGAGCGAACGGG